GAUGAACGCUGGCGGCGUGCCUAAUACAUGCAAGUCGAGCGAACGGACGAGAAGCUUGCUUCUCUGAUGUUAGCGGCGGACGGGUGAGUAACACGUGGAUAACCGACCUAUAAGACUGGGAUAACUUCGGGAAACCGGAGCUAAUACCGGAUAAUAUUUUGAACCGCAUGGUUCAAAAGUGAAAGACGGUCUUGCUGUCACUUAUAGAUGGAUCCGCGCUGCAUUAGCUAGUUGGUAAGGUAACGGCUUACCAAGGCAACGAUGCAUAGCCGACCUGAGAGGGUGAUCGGCCACACUGGAACUGAGACACGGUCCAGACUCCUACGGGAGGCAGCAGUAGGGAAUCUUCCGCAAUGGGCGAAAGCCUGACGGAGCAACGCCGCGUGAGCGAUGAAGGUCUUCGGAUCGUAAAACUCUGUUAUUAGGGAAGAACAUAUGUGUAAGUAACUGUGCACAUCUUGACGGUACCUAAUCAGAAAGCCACGGCUAACUACGUG
rnacentral:rRNA from 1 species